rnacentral:rRNA from 1 species
UACGUAGGGUGCAAGCGUUAAUCGGAAUUACUGGGCGUAAAGCGUGCGCAGGCGGUUCUAUAAGACAGAUGUGAAAUCCCCGGGCUCAACCUGGGAACUGCAUUUGUGACUGUAGAGCUGGAGUGGCGGGCAGAGGGGGAUGGAAUUCCGCGUGUAGCAGUGAAAUGCGUAGAUAUGCGGAGGAACACCGAUGGCGAAGGCAAUCCCCUGGGCCUGCACUGACGCUCAUGCACGAAAGCGUGGGGAGCAAACAGG